rnacentral:rRNA from 1 species
GGACCCGCACAAGCGGUGGAUGAUGUGGAUUAAUUCGAUGCAACGCGAAAAACCUUACCUACCCUUGACAUGGAUGGAAUCCUGAAGAGAUUUGGGAGUGCUCGAAAGAGAACCAUCACACAGGUGCUGCAUGGCUGUCGUCAGCUCGUGUCGUGAGAUGUUGGGUUAAGUCCCGCAACGAGCGCAACCCUUGUCAUUAGUUGCUACGAAAGGGCACUCUAAUGAGACUGCCGGUGACAAACCGGAGGAAGGUGGGGAUGACGUCAAGUCCUCAUGGCCCUUAUGGGUAGGGCUUCACACGUCAUACAAUGGUACAUACAGAGGGCCGCCAACCCGCGAGGGGGAGCUAAUCCCAGAAAGUGUAUCGUAGUCCGGAUUGGAGUCUGCAACUCGACUCCAUGAAGUUGGAAUCGCUAGUAAUCGCGGAUCAGCAUGUCGCGGUGAAUACGUUCCCGGGUCUUGUACACAC